UAUCUUCGGAUGUGGAGCGUACACAGGUGCUGCAUGGCUGUCGUCAGCUCGUGUCGUGAGAUGUUGGGUUAAGUCCCGCAACGAGCGCAAACCCCUGUGGUUAGUUGCCAGCAAGUAGCGUUGGGCACUCUAGCCAGACUGCCGGUGAUAAAUCGAGGAAGGUGGGGACGACGUCAAAUCAUCAUGCCCUUUAUGUCCUGGGCUACACACGUACUACAAUGGCCGUUACAACGGGAAGCGAAGGAGCAAUCCGGAGCAAAUCCCUUAAAGGCGGUCCCAGUUCAGAUUGUGGGCUGAAACUCGCCCACAUGAAGGCGGAAUUGCUAGUAAUUGCAGAUCAGCAUGCUGCCAGUCGAAUACGUUCCCGGGCCUU
rnacentral:rRNA from 1 species